UACGUAGGAUGCGAGCGUUGUCCGGAAUUAUUGGGCGUAAAGAGAACGUAGGCGGUUUCUUAAGUUUGGGCUUAAAGACCGGGGCUCAACCCCGGGAAUGGCUCGAAAACUGGGAGACUGGAGGAUGUCAGAGGAAAGUGGAAUUCCGAGUGUAGCGGUGAAAUGCGUAGAUAUUCGGAGGAACACCAGUGGCGAAAGCGACUUUCUGGGACAUUCCUGACGCUGAGGUUCGAAAGCUCGGGGAGCAAACAGG
rnacentral:rRNA from 1 species